UAGGCAAGGCUGGCAGGCAGAGAGACAGGCAGCUACCAGCCAGAUCAAGAAACAGCAGGAAAGUAAGCCGUACGGAAAGAAAGGUAAAAAGCCCCGAGGCAAAAACAUAGAUGAAGAGAAACAGGUUAACUUAAGUUAAAGGGGGAAAAAAAAAGCUGGCCAGAAACAAACAAAAGCUAAGGCCAAGCAUUCCUGAGUAAUUAGAAGUCUCCAUGCCAUGAUUUGGAAGCUGGUUGGUGGCCGAAAAGAAAAAGACUAGCAGAAGAGAGACUGCCGUGUGUGACUAGAUUCCAAGAUACCGUGUGCUUUGGAUGAGGGGCAAGCUGGGGCCCCGCAAUCUUGGUAUAGGAAACAGUUGAGUCUUGUAUAAGCUUUGGACAUUGGGUCCCUGGAAAUGACGAUGACCCUUUGUGUAGUUAUCAAGCUACAAUGAACUUGGUGGCCAUCCAGUCACCUAGCUGAAGGACUAUAUAGUUGACCAUGCUUGUAAGUGGGGUUGUGAAAAGACUUGGAUAGACAUCUUGCCAAAGCCCAGGGCAGCUGCAAGGAGACACUGUAAACUCCCAAUACCUGUGUAACGUGCCCAGAGGCAAGGGCAUGGGCUUUUUGUACCAGGAUGCAUGGGGCAUAGUCCCCAGCACUAGCAUUCCAGAACUCUGCCUGUCUGGGGCUAGGAUGAAAAGAAAAACUGACUGCCUGGAGCUGUAGCCUGCCCAGUUAGAUGAGGUCUAAAGUCCUGGCUCCUCCUCCUCCUCAUGCCCUUUGCCUGCGCUGCUGUUCAGGUGGGAACCAGCUCACCUGGAGAGAUGUUGAAGCAACACUAGGAAAAACCAAUCCAAACCAAAUUCCAGGAGUCUCUAAGCCGAGCGUGAUCUGAAGUGAGUGGCUGGGUUGGCUUAUGGUUGAGGAACCAGACAGCUCAAUUUGAAGUUGAUGCCGGAAUGACUGAGUUUGAGUUGUUUCGGGAGCAACCUGAGAAGGGAAACCCGCACUUCUUCUUUCUGGACUCCUUUGUCACCUGGCACUUUUUUUUAUCAUUGCUGGGCUCUCUGGAGGAGCCAUGGAAACAGAAACAAGAUGGACAGACACUGUUGCCCGUUCAUAUGCCCAUGAUUCAUGGCAAGUGUGCGAUGGGCCUUGGGAAGCUUUCAGGACGAGGUACUUCCUGUUUCCACCGUUACUUCAUCCUCAACUUUCUUGGACCGCUCCAGCCUGAGCUCCCGUAACAAAACAAGUAAGGUGAUAAGAAUUGCUUCCCUAUACUAGUCCCCGCAGUCUCCCAUUUGGUGGUACCAAGGGACCAUGAAGAAUGAAAAGGGGGAAAAUGAACCAGUGAAGCUGGGAGCGAUGACUGGAAUGUGCUUUCUACUGCAAAAUGUCAGGAUUUAGUGAAGAAGGAGCAGAGACACACCAUAUGUUCCCACUCCAGGCCUGGAACACACCAACUUACAGCAUACUGCCUCACCCGGAAGACAUGAUUACAAAAGAGGCCUGGGCUUCUGCCUUGCCAUGGCUGGCCCACUGCUUUCUAGUCCCCACCCCCUGAUUUCCUGAACUAUCAUGGCUCCAAAACAACUCGGAGGAAGGCUCUGCUCUGAGGGUGGGGAGCAGCAAGCCAGGUGGCAGCUUGGCAAGCGUGGCUGCAGUUGGGUUGUCGUAUUUUUUUUCUUUUUAAAUAACUGACUCCAAUAAAUACAGGUGUACCACAUGGGGAAACCCAUGGUGACAGUGUAAUUAAGAGAAACAAGGCAAGGAUUGCUGGUUUCCUGCUAAGGAGGAUGGCUUCUACCUUUGCCAAGGCUUAGGAAAGACGUGAAAUGGAGGCCCCCACGGAAAUGAGCAGCUAAGAGAACUUAAUGCCAUGAAAGAGGGAGUCUGUUCCUUGAGCUGGGCCUAUGUCAGUCAGGCUUCUCAUUGCCGUGACAAAAUACCUGAGAGGGAUUUCUAAAAAGGAGCAAAGAUUUAUCUUGACUCAUACUUUCAAAGCUUUCAGCCUCUGGUCAGCUGACUCCAUUGUUUCUUGGCUGUGGUGAAGCAGAUCAUGCCAGAAGACACUCAUAGAGUCCGGUCACCCAGUUCAUGGUGGCCAGGCAGUAGAGAGUGAGAUAGGAAAGGGACAGCCAAGCUGUCUAGUGACAAACUUCCUCCAACUAGACCAUAUCUCCCAUGUCCCAUCAGAUUAUGAAACCAUCAAAGGAUUGCUAUUGAUUAGGUCAUAGCCCCCAGGAUCCAGUAACCCCACCCACAAAGCACAAACCCAACACAAACCCAACAACAGUCCAGCCCACAUGCACAGGUGCACUUAGAGGAGUUGAGAUGUGUUUUAGUGGACAGGACUGUUUCUUACUCAAGUGUCUUUACUUUCAGUAUCUACCCUUCUGUAUAGCAUAUCCAUGUCAGAAGGCCUGUAAACCAGGAGUCAAUCCAACCCCUUGACUGUUUAAUUAAUAAAGUUGUGUUGGAAUCCUGCGUUAUCCAUUCA